UGUACAUUGUUAGAGUUUGGAGUUGAGGCCACAGCUGGCUGAUGAACUCACAAGUGUAAGUAUGUGACAUCAGUGGCAUGUUUUUGCUAACACUCCACUCUGGCCAGUAAGUGGAGUUUGAUAGUAAACUGUGCUACAAGU
ensembl:snoRNA SNORA62 Small nucleolar RNA SNORA62/SNORA6 family